rnacentral:rRNA from 1 species
UGGGGAAUUUUGGACAAUGGGGGAAACCCUGAUCCAGCCAUCCCGCGUGUGCGAUGAAGGCCUUCGGGUUGUAAAGCACUUUUGGCAGGAAAGAAACGUCGCGGGUUAAUACCCCGCGAAACUGACGGUACCUGCAGAAUAAGCACCGGCUAACUACGUGCCAGCAGCCGCGGUAAUACGUAGGGUGCAAGCGUUAAUCGGGAAUUACUGGGCGUAAAGCGUGCGCAGGCGGUUCGGAAAGAAAGAUGUGAAAUCCCAGAGCUUAACUCUGGAACUGCAUUUUUAACUACCGGGCUAGAGUGUGUCAGAGGGAGGUGGAAUUCCGCGUGUAGCAGUGAAAUGCGUAGAUAUGCGGAGGAACACCGAUGGCGAAGGCAGCCUCCUGGGAUAACACUGACGCUCAUGCACGAAAGCGUGGGGAGCAAACAGGAUUAGAUACCCUGGUAGUCCACGCCCCUAAACGAUGUCAACUAGCUGUUGGGGCCUUCGGGGCCUUGGUAGCGCAGCU